CUCGCCCUGAAUCAAGGCCAGCAGCUUGCUGAUGCAGGAGCCUAAAGAGAUGUCUUUCUAUGGUAAGUUGGCCAUUUCAGAACUUGGGCAGUGAAAUGGUCAAUUCAUUAGAAAGAAACAGCU
ensembl:snoRNA